UGGGGGCGAUGCGGAGGACACGCCUGAGGUCUCGGCAGGGAGGCGGCGGCCAGAGUUAACUUAUCCUCUCUGCGAUAGCGACUGUGUGCCCUCGUCACGCCUGUGGAGCCGCGGGAACGAGUUCCCCGGGCAGCCCAUCUCGCAGAAGCUCUCUGUCGGUCACAGCCUUGCUGGAGCCGCCGCCGGAGCCCCGCGGCGUGGGGUGUGUCUUACGCUGGUCGAGAGCGCCCGGUCCGGCCGUGCCGUGUGGUUCGUGCUGCAGGCCCGGCGGGGGAGCCAGGGGCUCGAGUGGGGAAUGUGCCCCCAGCCUGAUGAUUACUUGCUGCCAGGUUGAUGUAACGCGGCUUGGCCUGACUUCUCACACUCAGCUGUUGCUCGGGAGACUCGCCCAAGUGAGGAAGGAACACAGCGCCUGCUGUGUGAAUGGAAUAAGCGAAGAGAGUUUCUUCUGCCGCCCGGCCCAGUUUGUGUCACAGGGUCUGGCCCGCGUCUGCAGGGAAACCUGGAGGCCUAGAGCUCCCCUCGUUCUCUUUUUGUCUCUCUCAUCCCUUCUCAGGGUGUUUUGCUGCUGUGGCAUCCUGAAACUGUAGAACGUAGGAAAAGGAAGCUACUUACUUUAAGUAUUUACAGCUUAGAGACAAAGGUCUAAGGGAGCAGCAGAGGCAUGACUACAGGACACAUCAACUAAGUGCUUAUGUGGAUUGGGGCCAAAUGGAAAAUUUGGCCUGAAGCUGUCUCUGACUUCUUCCCUCAGCAGAACUGAUGGAAAGAACUGCAAAGGAAAAAAAAAUUCUGAAGGAGAUAAAGAAGGGUUUAUGUGAUUUGUGUAACUUAGGGUUUCUUAAGGAACGAGUAACCUCUUCCCCUCUUUUAUGACCUUAGGGACCAUUUUUAUGUGGAAAAGAAAAUCAACCAAAAAACACAGAAAUGUUUUUCUACUUAAAAUUGUGUACCUUUAAUUAUACUUGAAGAAAUGGUGCCAUUAGUAUAUAAUAUAAUAUGAACCUGGUUAUACAGUUACUGAUAUGACGAAUUAAAAAUGUAGUGUCCCCAGAUAUUUGUCUGUGAAACAAUUCCCCCAAAUAUGCAGCAUGAUACUGGAGAAUUUUCAUUUAUCUAAAACUAAAGUAAUUUGAACUAUGGUUUAUGAUUUGCAAUCUUUACAUGUUUUGUAAAACAUGAGAGUUAAACAAGGCAGUUUGUUCUCCAUUGCAUUGUAAAUCCUCAACUUCCUACUUUAUGUUUUUGCAUAAGUUAUAGUAUUUCUGUUAACUUUAUAAGUACUGAUAAGACACUGGAUUAGAUAUAUAUUUCUCACAGGAUUUUUUUCCCUUUAAUAGUAGGUUUCACCCUUUGCAAUAGAAGUUAUGUAUAUUUUCUUUGCAGUUUUGUGACUUGCCCAAAAAUGGAAGCUCCAGCAGUGCCUAAAGUAACCUGGUUGAUGAGACUUCAGGCAGCCGUUAGUGAUAGAUUGCUCAGACAGAUCAAAUGAUAUACGACUGCAUUUUUUUGUUGUAGCUGCUAUGACCCUAGCCCUUCAAAGGCUCUUGUUGUUCAGUGUGGUGUCUUACUAUUGGACUGAAAGAGGAUUCAGUAUUCAAAAUGCCUGAACCUAAUGGAAACAUUAAUUUGGGGGAUUGUGAGGGUGGUGGUGGGGGAGCAUAACUGAUCAAAAUGGAAUGUAUUCCAGAGUGAACAGGCCGUCUUUGUCUCUUCCACAAAUUCUCUGGGGAGCACAGUGCCACAAAGUUGUGUUUCUGAAGGAGUGAGGAGACUGGAAAAGCAGUUUGGGUAGUAAAGCAGAUAGUGGGGCCCUCGUUAGAGCUUGUGUGUUAGCAGCCAGUAGUUUCUGAGAAAGAUUACAAGCACUUAGAGAAAGCAAUAAAGUUUGGUAUUUGGUUCAAACAAUUUGCACUUCAAGCAGCAGUCUUUACAUUUGUGGUUGUUGUUGUUGUUAUAUUCUGUUAUGGCAUCGUGAAUAGUAUAUAAUGGCAAAGAUUGUUUCUUCAAGAGGAUGUAUUUAUUUUUACUUUCUCUGUUUCUUGGUCAAUCAAUACCUCUCAUUUCCUAGCAGUCACUUGCUCUCUCACUCUUCUCCCCACUCCAGCCUUCCUUUUCUUCCUUUCAUUUAUUUUGCUACCAUCUAUUUUCCUUUGCUCCUCCUUGUUUUCCCUACUUGCAACUUCCUUUCUGUCUCUUUCUUUCUAUUUUAAUGCUGGAGAGAAGAAUAAUGUCAGGAGUUUUUUCACUCCCGUUGAUAGUUUUAGUAUAGUAGUUAACUGGUACAAAUUUAAUAUUCUGACCACAGAUUUGAGAUCAUAACUGAUGAUGAAAAACAUGGAAUGUUUCCAUUUGUGAAAUAAAAGAAAUAGCCUUUAAUGACUAAGCAGAGUAAUUUU